rnacentral:rRNA from 1 species
GUGCCAGCAGCCGCGCGGUAAUACCCGCAGCUCAAGUGGUGGCCACUAUUAUUGAGCCUAAAACGUCCGUAGCCGGUUUUGUAAAUCUCUGGGUAAAUCCUGCCGCUCAACGGUAGGAAUUCUGGAGAGACUGCAAAACUAGGGAUCGGGUGAGGCGAGAGGUACUCCUGGGGUAGGGGUAAAAUCCUGUAAUCCUGGGGGGACGACCGGUGGCGAAAGCGUCUCGCUAGAACGACUCCGACGGUGAGGGACGAAGGCUAGGGGAGCAAACCGGAUUAGAUACCCGGGUAGUCCUAGCUGUAAACGCUGCCCACUUGGUGUUGCCCUUUCCUCGGGAAGGGGCAGUGCCGGAGCGAAGGUGUUAAGUGGGCUGCUUGGGGAGUAUGGUCGCAAGGCUGAAACUUAAAGGAAUUGGCGGGAGAGCACCGCAACGGGAGGAGCGUGCGGUUUAAUUGGAUUCAACGCCGGAAAACUCACCAGGGGAGACCAUGGGAUGAGUGUCAGCCUGAAGAGCUUACACGAUCACAUGGAGAGGUGGUGCAUGGCCGUCGUCAGCUCGUACCGUAGAGCGUUCACUUAAGUGUGAUAACGAGCGAGACCCUUGCCCAUAUUUGCUAUCUUCUUCGCGAGAGGAAGAGCACUAUAUGGGGACCGCUAGCGUUAAGCUAGAGGAAGGAGAGGUCAACGGCAGG